rnacentral:rRNA from 1 species
GUUGUAUGGUUAAGUGACUAAGCGUACAUGGUGGAUGCCUUGGCAGUCAGAGGCGAUGAAGGACGUACUAACCUGCGAUAAGCUGUGAGAAGUCGGUAAGAGACGCUAUUACUCACAGAUUUCCGAAUGGGGAAACCCACCCGAGAUAACUCGGGUAUCUGUUACUGAAUACAUAGGUAACAGAGGCGAACCGGGAGAACUGAAACAUCUAAGUACCCGAGGAAAAGAAAUCAACCGAGAUUCCCUCAGUAGCGGCGAGCGAACGGGGAUUAGCCCUUAAGCAUCUUGGAAGUUAGUGGAACGGUCCUGGAAAGGCCGGCGAUACAGGGUGAUAGCCCCGUACACGAAAACAACCUUGAUGUGAAAUCGAGUAGGGCGGGACACGUGACAUCCUGUCUGAAUAUGGGGGGACCAUCCUCCAAGGCUAAAUACUCCUGACUGACCGAUAGUGAACCAGUACCGUGAGGGAAAGGCGAAAAGAACCCCUGUGAGGGGAGUGAAAUAGAACCUGAAACCGUGUACGUACAAGCAGUGGGAGCCCUUCGGGGUGACUGCGUACCUUUUGUAUAAUGGGUCAGCGACUUACAUUUUGUAGCGAGGUUAACCGUAUAGGGGAGCCGUAGGGAAACCGAGUCUUAACUGGGCGUCUAGUUGCAAGGUGUAGACCCGAAACCGGGUGAUCUAGCCAUGGGCAGGUUGAAGGUUGAGUAACAUCAACUGGAGGACCGAACCCACUAACGUUGCAAAGUUAGGGGAUGACCUGUGGCUGGGGGUGAAAGGCCAAUCAAACUCGGAGAUAGCUGGUUCUCCCCGAAAGCUAUUUAGGUAGCGCCUCGGACGAAUACUACUGGGGGUAGAGCACUGUUUGGGCUAGGGGGUCAUCCCGACUUACCAACCCCAUGCAAACUCCGAAUACCAGUAAGUAAUAUCCGGGAGACACACGGCGGGUGCUAACGUCCGUCGUGAAGAGGGAAACAACCCAGACCGCCGGCUAAGGUCCCAAAGUUCUGGUUAAGUGGGAAACGAUGUGGGAAGGCUCAGACAGCUAGGAUGUUGGCUUAGAAGCAGCCAUCAUUUAAAGAAAGCGUAAUAGCUCACUAGUCGAGUCGGCCUGCGCGGAAGAUGUAACGGGGCUCAAACCAGGCACCGAAGCCGCGGAUUCACACUUAUGUGUGAGUGGUAGGGGAGCGUUCUGUAAGUCUGCGAAGGUGUAUCGAGAGGUAUGCUGGAGAUAUCAGAAGUGCGAAUGCUGACGUAAGUAACGAUAAAGGGGGUGAAAAGCCUCCUCGCCGGAAGACCAAGGGUUCCUGUCCAACGUUAAUCGGGGCAGGGUGAGUCGACCCCUAAGGCGAGGCCGAAAGGCGUAGUCGAUGGGAAGCAGGUUAAUAUUCCUGCACGACUUGUAAUUGCGAUGGGGGGACGGAGAAGGCUAGGUGGGCCAGGCGACGGUUGUCCUGGUGAAAGUGCGUAGGUGGUGUUUCUAGGCAAAUCCGGAGACACAACACUGAGACACGAGACGAACACACUACGGUGUGGAAGCCAUUGAUGCCCUGCUUCCAGGAAAAGCCUCUAAGCUUCAGAUUACAAGUCAUCGUACCCCAAACCGACACAGGUGGUCGGGUAGAGAAUACCAAGGCGCUUGAGAGAACUCGGGUGAAGGAACUAGGCAAAAUAGAACCGUAACUUCGGGAGAAGGUUCGCUCUUGACAGUGAAGUCCCUUGCGGAUGGAGCAGUUGGGAGUCGCAGUGACCAGAUGGCUGGGACUGUUUAUCAAAAACACAGCACUCUGCAAACACGAAAGUGGACGUAUAGGGUGUGACACCUGCCCGGUGCCGGAAGGUUAAUUGAUGGGGUUAGCGCAAGCGAAGCUCUUGAUCGAAGCCCCGGUAAACGGCGGCCGUAACUAUAACGGUCCUAAGGUAGCGAAAUUCCUUGUCGGGUAAGUUCCGACCUGCACGAAUGGUGUAACCAUGGCCAUGCUGUCUCCACCCGAGACUCAGUGAAAUCGAAUUCGCCGUGAAGAUGCGGUGUACCCGCGGCUAGACGGAAAGACCCCGUGAACCUUUACUACAGCUUGGCACUGAACAUUGAACCUACAUGUGUAGGAUAGGUGGGAGGCUUUGAAGGCGUGACGCCAGUUGCGCUGGAGCCGUCCUUGAAAUACCACCCUUGUAUGUUUGAUGUUCUAACGCAGGGCCCUGAAUCGGGCUCGCGGACAGUGCCUGGUGGGUAGUUUGACUGGGGCGGUCUCCUCCCAAAGAGUAACGGAGGAGCACGAAGGUUGGCUAAUCCUGGUCGGACAUCAGGAGGUUAGUGCAAUGGCAUAAGCCAGCUUAACUGCGAGACGGACAGGUCGAGCAGGUACGAAAGUAGGUCAUAGUGAUCCGGUGGUUCUGAAUGGAAGGGCCAUCGCUCAACGGAUAAAAGGUACUCCGGGGAUAACAGGCUGAUACCGCCCAAGAGUUCAUAUCGACGGCGGUGUUUGGCACCUCGAUGUCGGCUCAUCACAUCCUGGGGCUGAAGUCGGUCCCAAGGGUAUGGCUGUUCGCCAUUUAAAGUGGUACGCGAGCUGGGUUCAGAACGUCGUGAGACAGUUCGGUCCCUAUCUGCCGUGGGCGUUGGAUGAUUGAAGGGAGUUGCUCCUAGUACGAGAGGACCGGAGUGAACGAACCUCUGGUGUUCGGGUUGUCACGCCAGUGGCACUGCCCGGUAGCUAAGUUCGGAAUCGAUAACCGCUGAAAGCAUCUAAGCGGGAAGCGAGCCCUGAGAUGAGUCAUCCCUGACCCCUUGAGGGUCCUAAAGGGCCGUUGGAGACCACAACGUUGAUAGGUGGGGUGUGUAAGCGCGGCGACGUGUUGAGCUAACCCAUACUAAUUACCCGUGAGGCUUAACCAUACAACACCCAAGAAGUGUUCU